rnacentral:rRNA from 1 species
UGGGGAAUAUUGGACAAUGGGCGAAAGCCUGAUCCAGCCAUGCCGCGUGUGUGAAGAAGGUCUUCGGCUUGUAAAGCACUUUAAGUUGGGAGGAAGGGCAGUAAGCGAAUACCUUGCUGUUUUGACGUUACCGACAGAAUAAGCACCGGCUAACUCUGUGCCAGCAGCCGCGGUAAUACAGAGGGUGCAAGCGUUAAUCGGAAUUACUGGGCGUAAAGCGCGCGUAGGUGGUUCGUUAAGUUGAAUGUGAAAGCCCCGGGCUCAACCUGGGAACUGCAACCAAAACUGGCGAGCUAGAGUAGGGCAGAGGGUAGUGGAAUUUCCUGUGUAGCGGUGAAAUGCGUAGAUAUAGGAAGGAACACCAGUGGCGAAGGCGACCGCCUGGGCUCAUACUGACACUGAGGUGCGAAAGCGUGGGGAGCAAACAGG